ACAGUACUAUUGGAGUCUCGUAUACAAGUCGUCGUCAGAUCGGUAGAAGAAGACAAAUGGCGUGUGAUGAUGCUGGUGCGAUCGCCACUAGUUUCUUUUACUAAUAAGCGUGGCCAGGAGGCUUUGAUGAUCUUAGGAGAGGAAAAGUUGUCCAUUUGGAAGAAGAGGGAUGAUAUUUUAGGAGGAGAAGUUAUGUAUGCCAGGGGUCGAAACUAGACAACACGUCAACACCGUACCUGGCACAAUCUGAACGCGCGGAUGACAAUCAGGACUUCAGGAGCAUAGCUGACGGCCGGCGAUCGAUGGCAUGACUGACCUGGAGCCCUGGACGAAUCGUCCUCGACUCCUCGUCUUGCAUGCUUGAAGCAAGCCCUCGGUCUGGAUCUCUUCAGCAAUCAGCACCUGAUCGAUCCGGGUGUAUGAAUCUGCUAGCUAAACUGCUACUCCGGCUACUACGAGUACUAUCCGAUCCACUUUUGAAUCUCUUCACCACCUGCAUCAUGUAUCAGUCCAUCCUAAAAUAAUUAUACAUAUAGAGUUUGUCUCGCAAAAAA